rnacentral:tRNA from 1 species
UCCCCUGUGACGCAGCGGGUUAAGGGUGUGGCAUUGUCACCGCUGUGACGCAGGUUCAAUCCCUGGCCAGGGGAA